GACGAACGCUGGCGGCGUGCCUAAUACAUGCAAGUCGAGCGAAGUUUUUCUGGUUCUUGCACUAGAAAAACUUAGCGGCGAACGGGUGAGUAACACGUAAAGAACCUGCCUCAUAGACUGGGACAACUAUUGGAAACGAUAGCUAAUACCGGAUAACAGCAUUAACUGCAUGGUUGAUGUUUAAAAGUUGGUUUUGCUAACACUAUGAGAUGGCUUUGCGGUGCAUUAGCUAGUUGGUGGGGUAAAGGCCUACCAAGGCGACGAUGCAUAGCCGACCUGAGAGGGUGAUCGGCCACACUGGGACUGAGACACGGCCCAGACUCCUACGGGAGGCAGCAGUAGGGAAUCUUCCGCAAUGGGCGAAAGCCUGACGGAGCAACGCCGCGUGAGUGAAGAAGGAUUUCGGUUCGUAAAGCUCUGUUGUUAGGGAAGAAUGAUUGUGUAGUAACUAUACACAGUAGAGACGGUACCUAACCAGAAAGCCACGGCUAACUACGUG
rnacentral:rRNA from 1 species